UACGAGGGGGGCAAGCGUUGUUCGGAAUUAUUGGGCGUAAAGGGUGCGUAGGCGGUUUGGUAAGUCUUAUGUGAAAUCUACAGGCUCAACUUGUAGUCUGCAUGAGAAACUGCCGGGCUUGAGUAUGGGAGAGGUGAGUGGAAUUCCUGGUGUAGCGGUGAAAUGCGUAGAGAGCCGGAAGAACACCGGUGGCGAAGGCGGCCUGCUGGGCAGUUGCUGACACUGAGGCGCGACAGCGUGGGGAGCAAACAGG
rnacentral:rRNA from 1 species